CACCAGCCCCUCGAGUGGUGGGGAUGAUUAUUUGGCCUAAAGCGUCCGUAGCCGGCCAGGUAAGUUUCCCGUUAAAUCCAACGUCUCAAGCGUUGGACUGCGGGAAAUACUACUUGGCUAGAGAGUGGGAGAGGUGUACGGUAUUCUGGGGGUAGGGCGAAAUCCUUUGAUCCCCGGAGGACCACCAGUGGCGAAGGCUGUACACUAGAACACGUCUGACGGUCAGGGACGAAAGCUAGGGUAGCGAACCGGAUUAGAUACCCGGGUAGUCCCAGCUGUAAACGAUGCAUGCUAGGUGUUGGGUUGGCCACGAGCCACCCCAGUGCCGCAGGGAAGCCGUUAAGCAUGCCGCCUGGGAAGUACGAUCGCAAGAUUGAAACUUAAAGGAAUUGGCGGGGGAGCACCACCAGGCGUGAAGCCUGCGGUUU
rnacentral:rRNA from 1 species